rnacentral:rRNA from 1 species
UAGGGAAUCUUCGGCAAUGGACGAAAGUCUGACCGAGCAACGCCGCGUGAGUGAAGAAGGUUUUCGGAUCGUAAAACUCUGUUGGUAGAGAAGAACGUUGGUGAGAGUGGAAAGCUCAUCAAGUGACGGUAACGUACCCAGAAAGGGACGGCUAACUACGUGCCAG